rnacentral:tRNA from 1 species
GGGUGUGUACUUCAGUGGUAGAGGGCCCAUCUGGCAUGCAUGAAUCUCUGGGUUCAAUCCCCAGCAUCUCA